CAGCAAACUGCUACUUGUGUGAAUGCCUGUUUGGGAGUGAGACUUCCCUACUGGAAAAAUAACCAACACUUACUACACCAUAGUUACGAUUACAUCACAAUAAAUAUUCUAUGCAGGACUAGGAACAGUUCCUCAAAGAAAAAUGCUUGGGGAACGGGUAAUUGGAAUGAACUACAAGCAUUUUCACUGAGCUCAAAGAAACUGCAAGAAAAAAGAUCUUCGAUCUGCAUCCAAGUAUUUUUUUUUGUCUGAAAGAACACUGUGUGAGGAAUUUUGACAUUCUCUGCAUUCUAAUGAAAAUGACUUGGAAAGUAGAGGCUUAUCUAUACAUUUGCCUCAUUGCCGCCACGAUGAGCACCGUUUAUCAGGAAUAAAGAGAGAAGAUCCAGAAGGUAGUUCUUUUCUGGAGAAUUUUGUGCUCUGGCUCUUAAGUACUUUUGCUUUGCCAUGAAUGUGAAUAUUUUAAAGGCCAAAAAAGCCCCCUCCAUUUGAGUUGCAGAUGGCCACAGGAACCCAACAAGAAUGCUAACAACUCAUUUUAAAAAGAGAAAAAGAAAGGAAGUGCCAAGUUCCACACUGCAUAUUCAUACUGAUGUUGAGCCCAUCUUGGCCUAGCUGGUAGAACUGAAAAUUGAGAAUAAUAUUAAGGGGCUGCAAUGAUCCCUAAGGGUAAAAAUAAAUGUGUUUCUGAAAACAACAGCCACAUCCACAAUGAAAUAGACAUGAAACAAGAUAACCCAAGAACACAUUUGUUUUCCUUGUAACAGGGAUGCAUUAAGUUCAUUAUUCAGAGGACUUUGAUUACCCUUUUCAAAGAUUUUUGGGUGACAGUGAUCCAGGAUGAAGGUCCUUUGACUAUACAUUUCAGCGUUCAAUUGAGGGAGCUGAUGACCAAGGCUGAAUUCCAAGGUAGCAGAGUUCCAGCUGAGGACUGGCCAGCGGUAACCUGGACCCCAGCUUCCUCAACCACCAUUGUUGGAAGCAAUCAGAAGACUGGAAGCAAUUUACUAAUAAGAGAACAUACCCUACAGCUCUGGCCUGUGAAAAGAGUUUCAGAAUCAUGAUGUAGCCACAAGUCAAAUUCUAGAAAGAAUUAAUGGCACAUCUCAUAGUUCUUUUAUUUGCUGGCUGAUUCAUUCCAGAGUGGUUUUGAGGACAGAAUGAAGCAAGAUGAAAAACAGCACUUUGAAAAUGGAGUGUGUGGUAUUCAUCUUAGAUACACUUUUAGAGAAGAAGAAAUGUGUCUCAGAAAAAGGACCUCUUCUGACUCAAAUUUAGCUUACAUCCCCUUCUUAACCAUAUCCCAGGUGAUAAAAUACGACACCCAGGUAAGCAGUGGCCUUGUGGACUCUGAAGAAGUUCUUAACGUGUCCACAGUACAUUCUCAUUUUGUCUGGCUCUAAACUACUGUCUCAAGAAAGCUGCAAAUAUUUGAAAGUAACAAUAAAGUGUUAACAGUAAUUCUGACUAAAA